AUGCGAGUUUGUUUUUCUGAAACGAAGAGGACGUGUACGAAUUCAAGCUGUGGUUUGAAGAAAGAAGUUGAAUCGGACGGAGAUGUUGUUGGUGAAACAAAUCGGAGCAACGGGUCUGAACAUAGAUUGAAAAUGAGGCGGAGAUGGCGAAGAGAGGAAGCAGACGGCAGGGAAGCGGCGCUGCUUUGA